rnacentral:rRNA from 1 species
UGAGGAAUAUUGGUCAAUGGGCGAGAGCCUGAACCAGCCAAGUAGCGUGCAGGAUGACGGCCCUAUGGGUUGUAAACUGCUUUUAUAUGGGAAUAAAGUGAGGGACGUGUCCCUUAUUGCAUGUACCAUAUGAAUAAGGACCGGCUAAUUCCGUGCCAGCAGCCGCGGUAAUACGGAAGGUCCAGGCGUUAUCCGGAUUUAUUGGGUUUAAAGGGAGCGUAGGCUGUUUGUUAAGCGUGUUGUGAAAUGUAAGAGCUCAACUUUUAGAUUGCAGCGCGAACUGGCAGACUUGAGUGCGCACAACGUAGGCGGAAUUCAUGGUGUAGCGGUGAAAUGCUUAGAUAUCAUGAAGAACUCCGAUUGCGAAGGCAGCUUGCUGCAGUGCGACUGACGCUGAUGCUCGAAGGUGCGGGUAUCAAACAGG